rnacentral:rRNA from 1 species
UACGAAGGGGGCUAGCGUUGUUCGGAAUUACUGGGCGUAAAGCGUGCGCAGGCGGCUUCUCAAGUCAGGGGUGAAAGCCCAGAGCUCAACUCUGGAAUUGCCUUUGAGACUGAGUGGCUUGAGUACGGGAGAGGUGAGUGGAAUUCCCAGUGUAGAGGUGAAAUUCGUAGAUAUUGGGAAGAACACCGGUGGCGAAGGCGGCUCACUGGCCCAUAACUGACGCUCAUGCACGACAGCGUGGGGAUCAAACAGG